rnacentral:rRNA from 1 species
UACAGAGGGUGCGAGCGUUGUUCGGAAUUAUUGGGCGUAAAGGGCGCGUAGGCGGUGCGGUAAGUCACCUGUGAAAUCUCCUGGCUCAACUGGGAGCUUGCAGGCGAAACUGCCGUGCUGGAGUGUGGGAGAGGUGCGUGGAAUUCCUGGUGUAGCGGUGAAAUGCGUAGAUAUCAGGAGGAACACCUGUGGCGAAGGCGGUUCUCUGGGCCUUACCUGACGCUGAGGAGCGAAAGCGUGGGGAGCAAACAGG